CCCUUUUCCCUCCCCCUCCCCCUCUGGAUCUACCGAUACUCUUCUUGGAUAAGCCAGUCAUUCCCUAGAAAGGACACAUCAGAGCUCGUGAGUUACAGAUUACCCCUGCCUGUCAAGGCAAGACACUGCACCUGGCCAGGCCUCUGGGAUUGGAUGCAGAAUAAAGAAGAAGCCUGUUGGGGAACACAGAGCUCUAGAGUACCAGGCCCUGUAUCCCUGAGGAUCAUCAUGUACAUCUGUGUGGCAUCAGCCUGCUCGGCAUGGCUUGGGAGAAGCUGAGGCAGAGGUCAGGUGGACUGAAUACAUGAUUAUUCACCUUCUGUCUGUUCAAGUUGCCACACCUCUCACCCUCACAGCCAUGACAGCCUCUCUCCAUCAGGACAGUCAAGCACAACCCCAGAACCAGCAGGCUAAGUGGCUGUCCAAGGCCAGCAGUCUGAUUUUGUCCUAUCCCUGUUCUGAGUCUCCACUGCCCAGCUAGUAUGUAUAACAAGGGGGGACACAUAAGUUCGUGGGACCACCUUGGGGAUGCCAGAUCUGCUGUCCAGUUCUAAUACCUACCUUGUUGCCUGAACACUAUGUGACUUUGGAUAAGUCUAAUUGUGUUAUGUGCCUUAGUUUCCCCACCUCCAAAUGGAGAAGUUAAGUGUGCUCUAAAACACCAUUAUGUAGCCUGAGAUCUGGGAAUGAGCCUCUCUACAUCCGAGUUAAUGCACUAUGACGUCAGAUAAAUUAAUGGAGCAUUAUCCAGUAUCCAGAUACUUAGAGCUCCUCCCCAAUUUACCCACUAGCUUGGAAAUCUCUAUCUCUAUGGAAAAGCAUCUAGGUAUUUAACUAGGUAGGCUGGACAUCAAAAAAUACCCUCACUAAAGACAACUUCCGGCUGGAGCCGGAUGAUCACCUGACCCUCUCUGGGACAGAGAA
rnacentral:sRNA from 1 species